CAGUAGAAGUUCAACUUGAUCCUUCAAUAAUAAGGCGAUAACUCAGGGGCUGGCAUGGGGCAGGGAUUUCAAAAAAGAAGAAUUGGAAGAAUAUGUGGUGUCAGUGUGGAGCAGAGAGAAAAAAGGAGAGGCUGGGAGAUGGUUAAAGAGGAGGAAAUUGAGAUUCACUGAAGGAGAAAGAUUACACUUCUUUCACUUCGGCCUGAGCUAAGAAAAAUGUGCUUCUGUUUAUUCCCCCAAGAUGACAACUUAAGUCUUUGAGUCUAUCAGUUCCAGGCAAGGGUCAAGCUCCACAGGACCAGCCAUCAGGGAAAUAACAUGACUUGUUAUUUCCAGACUAUGUUCAGGUAUGUGUCCACUACAGACUCAGGCACACAAUUUCUCUGAUU
ensembl:lincRNA